UACUGCUCCCUGAUCCGAUCAGCAACCACUGCCUACGUCUUGGCUCUUCACGAAAUCUUAAUCCUCAUGGUCAAAUAGCAAUAUGUGCAUAUAUAUUAUAAAUUCCUUUGCAUCCUGAUAUCAUAGUGCAGUUAAUAUUUGUAACAAAAAUGUUCUAUUGUUCAUGCUCAUAGAUAUUCAGAUACCUGCAAUUUUUUUGUAUCUACUAAGUGGAACCUGUAUUUAGCUUCCAUCUUAAAACUUGGAAGCAUUUUGAUGAAUGCAGAGGCUCCAGUGUCAACAAACAGGCUUGCAAUUCAGUUAUAUUUUUUUUUCCAUUUAGUUGUAGGAGAUUGUUCAGAAAAAACUUGUUGUUGUGGGUGAGAUAGUAUGACAUCCUAUUUGAUGGUUUUUGUUUUCUCUCUCAUUGCACUGUUAAGCUUGUACAUCCUACAUUGUUGUUGUCCAAGCCAUAACUACCAUUGCGAUAAGGUAUAGUAAACCUUGUAGACUGAAGAUAUAUGAUUUUCUUCAUGCUUUAGCUCUUGGGUGUGUGCAGUCAAUAUUUUCAGAAUUGUAGCUAAGUAAUAGGGGAAAUUAGGGUGCUGGUGCUUAAGGUCCUAAAUGAAAUGUAUAGAGCUCAAGAUUAUCUUGCCAGGUAUAUAGUAUUGAGGUGGCCUCUUUUUUUUCUUUGCCUUGUUUCUGUAUAGAUAUUCACCAGCAUGAUAUUUGCAAACUUGAAUGGACCCAUGAGAGGCAUCUUGAUUUUGUCCAUACUCCUUUCUGUUUGUUCGUAUUUUUUAGUUGUAGCUAUCACAUGGUUCUAUAAUUUUUAAUUAUCUAUGGUGGCUACAUCUAAUACUAAUAUUCUCAUCUGAUUAAGAUUAGAAGUGAAAUAAUUUAUUGCAGUGCACCUUUAUGAAAAGAUGGUGUUUGUGGUACUGUUGCCAUGAUAAUUUAGCAAUAUCAAAUGUAUUAGAAUGUGAUAUACCUGGGUUGUUUGUGCAGGUUCAUGUCUGGGAACUCUUUGUCGGUGUGAAACAUCAUGUCUGCAGAACGCCACAAAAACCGUUGGCACGCAGCUUGCCAAGGGCGAGGCAACGGAAAGUAAAUGGAUGUAAACACCCAAUGCCCUAGAGAUGAAUUUCAGAGAUUGUUCACCUCACCGCUGUAGAUAAACAAAUCAGAGGGGACUUACGACGGCUGCAGGCAAGUAGGCGAUGAAGCCCAGUGCCCGACGAACAAUGGGGGCAUGCCAGGGAUGAAUGGCGACGACGAGCUACGGAUGGGCAAGGGCGACUGCGGCUGGCGAUGGACAGAGGAUCGAUAGGGUUGAUCGACGUUGUGUGCGAUGGCGAAGGUGGCGCGCGAGAUCCAGGGACGAGGAGGUGAGGUUGCGCGCGGUGUCAUGCGAGGGCCAGGGACUUGUAGGUGAGGGCACGGUCGCGUGACUGGCGGCGCGGGGUGAUCACGGAAUUGAUCACGAUUGUUAGGGGAUUGAUUUUGCCUUCCUGAUCUGUUGCGGCUGUUACAGGAUUGAUGAUUUUUGCCUUCCUGUUUCGGGUGGUGGCAUUUGAUAAAGUCUCCACGCCUGGGGCUCAGCCGGGGUGGUAUUUUGAGGGAAGCCAACGGAGUCGCGGAGAGUGGAUCGCACCCACGCAGGCAGACGGACGAUGUUCAAUUGCCGCACGAAAAAGUGUCCAUUCUUUAGUCUUUUUAGUUGUAGGAGAUUGUUCAGAAAAAACUUGUUGUUGUGGGUGAGAUAGUAUGACAUCCUAUUUGAUGGUUUUUGUUUUCUCUCUCAUUGCACUGUUAAGCUUGUACAUCCUACAUUGUUGUUGUCCAAGCCAUAACUACCAUUGCGAUAAGGUUCAUGUCUGGGAACUCUUUGUCGGUGUGAAACAUCAUGUCUGCAGAACGCCACAAAAACCGUUGGCACGCAGCUUGCCAAGGGCGAGGCAACGGAAAGUAAAUGGAUGUAAACACCCAAUGCCCUAGAGAUGAAUUUCAGAGAUUGUUCACCUCACCGCUGUAGAUAAACAAAUCAGAGGGGACUUACGACGGCUGCAGGCAAGUAGGCGAUGAAGCCCAGUGCCCGACGAACAAUGGGGGCAUGCCAGGGAUGAAUGGCGACGACGAGCUACGGAUGGGCAAGGGCGACUGCGGCUGGCGAUGGACAGAGGAUCGAUAGGGUUGAUCGACGUUGUGUGCGAUGGCGAAGGUGGCGCGCGAGAUCCAGGGACGAGGAGGUGAGGUUGCGCGCGGUGUCGUGCGAGGGCCAGGGACUUGUAGGUGAGGGCACGGUCGCGUGACUGGCGGCGCGGGGUGAUCACGGAAUUGAUCACGAUUGUUAGGGGAUUGAUUUUGCCUUCCUGAUCUGUUGCGGCUGUUACAGGAUUGAUGAUUUUUGCCUUCCUGUUUCGGGUGGUGGCAUUUGAUAAAGUCUCCACGCCUGGGGCUCAGCCGGGGUGGUAUUUUGAGGGAAGCCAACGGAGUCGCGGAGAGUGGAUCGCACCCACGCAGGCAGACGGACGAUGUUCAAUUGCCGCACGAAAAAGUGUCCAUUCUUUAGUCUUUUUAGUUGUAGGAGAUAGGAGAUAUUUUUGACCAAUAUAGAUCUGGCAUUUCUAAUUUGCACAUCAGGUGCCCAUAUAUCAGCUAUCUAUUUGUGCACUGUCAUGCACGUGGGAAUUUCCUUAAGGUACUGAAAUUUAAUUUUCAUCUACACAAUUAGGAAAUUUUCUAGAAACUAGAGUAUCAGGUAAUGUUAGUCGGUUUCUAUUUUUUAAAUAAAUCAAGUGACACAAGACCUUUAAUUA